GACGAACGCUGGCGGCGUGCUUAACACAUGCAAGUCGAACGAUGAUGCUGGAGCUUGCUCCAGUUGAUUAGUGGCGAACGGGUGAGUAACACGUGAGCAAUCUGCCCUUGACUCUGGGAUAACUGCGGGAAACUGUAGCUAAUACCGGAUACUUUCACCGGAAGGCAUCUUCUGGUGAUGAAAGAAUUUCGGUCAGGGAUGAGCUCGCGGCCUAUCAGCUUGUUGGUGAGGUAACGGCUCACCAAGGCGACGACGGGUAGCCGGCCUGAGAGGGUGACCGGCCACACUGGGACUGAGACACGGCCCAGACUCCUACGGGAGGCAGCAGUGGGGAAUAUUGCACAAUGGGCGCAAGCCUGAUGCAGCAACGCCGCGUGAGGGAUGAAGGCCUUCGGGUUGUAAACCUCUUUUAGCAGGGAAGAAGCGCAAGUGACGGUACCUGCAGAAGAAGCACCGGCCAACUACGUGCCAGCAGCCGCCGUAA
rnacentral:rRNA from 1 species